CAGCCGCCGCGGGAAUACGUAGGUCCCGAGCGUUGUCCGGAUUUAUUGGGCGUAAAGCGAGCGCAGGCGGUUAGAUAAGUCUGAAGUUAAAGGCUGUGGCUUAACCAUAGUACGCUUUGGAAACUGUUUAACUUGAGUGCAAGAGGGGAGAGUGGAAUUCCAUGUGUAGCGGUGAAAUGCGUAGAUAUAUGGAGGAACACCGGUGGCGAAAGCGGCUCUCUGGCUUGUAACUGACGCUGAGGCGCGAAAGCCAGGGGAGCGAACGGGAUUAGAUACCCGUGUAGUCCCUGUCUCUUAUACA
rnacentral:rRNA from 1 species